UUAUUUUAUACUAUCUUAAAAUUCUUGAAAUUUGUAAAAUUUAAAGAUCCGUGGGACUUACGCCCCGCCUCGUUAGAGGUAAAACGCCUCGCCUUUUAAAACAUUGAUCAAUAGAAUAAAAAACAAUAGCAUAGCAUAUGAGUGAGUUUGCAAGUCUUGGUUCCAAGCUAAGCUCAUUGUGCUUAAGAGCAGCCAUCAGAAUUGUGGCGGGAUUUGUGGUUCUAAAUAACCACCAAAAGUCCCUCGGGAUCCCCUAGAAAUGUCAAAUAGAUGCUUAUGUGUAAUAACCCUACAAUUUUAUAGAACUUUAAGA
rnacentral:lncRNA from 1 species